GCCAGAGUUAGAAUAUUAAAUGUCAACGUUCCUAACAGUACAAUUAGAAAAAGACUGAUCAAGUAUGGUUUGUUUGGAUUGGUUGCCAUUAGAAAGGCUCUUCUCUUUAAAAAUAACAUGACAGCACAGCUUAGGUUUGCAAAGUUGCAUCUGAACAAUUCUGAAGACUUCUAGAACAAUGUAAUUUGGACAGACAAGACUAAAGUGGAGAUGUUUGGCCACAAUACACAGUGCCAGGUUUGGCAAAAACCAAACAAGGCAUAUCAGCACAAACAACUCAUACCAACUGUCAAGCACAGUUUUGGAGGGGUGAUGAUUUGGGCUUGUUUAGCAGCCAUGGGACGCCUCUGUCCAUAGGAAAGCAUUACUCGUGGUUUGAAUGCCGCGCAUGCGAAUUUGGAUCUAAUGUCGGCAGUGGAGGAGAGGUCACCAGCGCCUAGGGAGCCCGGCGCUGUAGAAAGGUAAGUGGCUCAACUCACACUAGUCUUGGGCAGUAGUAAUGAUUCUAGUAAAUAUCAGCAGGGCCGACGUGUCCUAUAGGCGACUUAGGCAGUCACCUAGGGUGCACUGGCCGAGGGGCUGCAAGUUUCGAUUGACCAGGCAGGAGGGAAGCACACAGCGCUCCCUCCUGCCAGUCACUCAGUGAAGCGUGGCCGGGAGGCGCUGACCAUGUUACAGGAGCUUCCUGUACCCAGCCGGACUGAAAGGAAGUGCUCUCUCAGUGAGCACUUCCUGUACAGCGGUCUGCGACGCCCGGCCACACUACACAGAGGUAGGAGGCACAACAGGGAAGGGGUGGGAGAUGGCAUUAUAGGACACUGGGGGGAGGGAAAGGAGGAGAAAUCACUAAGGGACAUGGGGGGAGGGAGAUGAGGAGAAUCCCC